CUUCCACAUUCUACCUCUCCAUCAGCCACUCCCUUGGCUACAGGCAUCCUUCAGACCUGGCCUUGGUCUUUCUCCAUGCGUAAACUCCGGUAACAAAAUCUGAGACACACACGAACGAUGCUCACACAUUUGGGUUGAUUAGAAGCCAUGUCGACUGCAGACUCUAAGCUGUCUCUCUCCUACAAGUGACGUGAGGACAACAUAAGGCUGGAGACCAAACACUUAAGACCCCUCUGCACCUGCUCUUGUUUUGCAACAAUAAAAUCCUUAAGAAGCCUAA